rfam:Vibrio sp. CECT 9027 strain CECT 9027T genome assembly, contig: 0003
UGAGAUGAGUUCUCCCUGGCGCUUUAAGCGUCCUAAAGGGUUGUUCGAGACUAGAACGUUGAUAGGCAGGGUGUGUAAGCGUUGUGAGGCGUUGAGCUAACCUGUACUAAUCGCCCGUGAGGCUUAACCAU